GACGAAGGGGGCUAGCGUUGUUCGGAAUUACUGGGCGUAAAGCGAGUGUAGGCGGUUGUUCAAGUUGGAUGUGAAAGCCUUGAGCUUAACUCAAGAAAUGCAUUCAGGACUGAGCGACUAGAGUACCGGAGAGGAUAGUGGAAUUCCCAGUGUAGUGGUGAAAUACGUAGAGAUUGGGAAGAACACCAGUGGCGAAGGCGGCUAUCUGGACGGUUACUGACGCUAAGACUCGAAAGCGUGGGGAGCAAACAGG
rnacentral:rRNA from 1 species